GACGAACGCUGGCGGCGUGCUUAACACAUGCAAGUCGAGCGGUAAGGCCUUUCGGGGUACACGAGCGGCGAACGGGUGAGUAACACGUGGGUGACCUGCCCUGCACUUCGGGAUAAGCCUGGGAAACUGGGUCUAAUACCGGAUGGGACCAUUCCAUGCAUGUGGGGUGGUGGAAAGUCGGUGCUGUUGUGGUGUCGGCGGUGGGGGAUGGGCCCGCGGUCUAUCAGCUUGUUGGUGGGGUGAUGGCCUACCAAGGCGACGACGGAUAGCCGGCCUGAGAGGGUGAUCGGCCACACUGGGACUGAGACACGGCCCAGACUCCUACGGGAGGCAGCAGUGGGGAAUCUUGCGCAAUGGGCGGAAGCCUGACGCAGCAACGCCGCGUGGGGGAUGACGGCCUGGUGUAAC
rnacentral:rRNA from 1 species